rnacentral:rRNA from 1 species
GAUGAACGCUGGCGGCGUGCCUAAUACAUGCAAGUCGAGCGAACAGACGAGGAGCUUGCUCCUCUGACGUUAGCGGCGGACGGGUGAGUAACACGUGGAUAACCUACCUAUAAGACUGGGAUAACUUCGGGAAACCGGAGCUAAUACCGGAUAACAUGUUGAACCGCAUGGUUCAAAAGUGAAAGACGGUCUUGCUGUCACUUAUAGAUGGAUCCGCGCCGCAUUAGCUAGUUGGUAAGGUAACGGCUUACCAAGGCAACGAUGCGUAGCCGACCUGAGAGGGUGAUAGGCCACACUGGAACUGAGACACGGUCCAGACUCCUACGGGAGGCAGCAGUAGGGAAUCUUCCGCAAUGGGCGAAAGCCUGACGGAGCAACGCCGCGUGAGUGAAGAAGGUCUUCGGAUCGUAAAACUCUGUUAUUAGGGAAGAACAAAUGUGUAAGUAACUAUGCACGUCUUGACGGUACCUAAUCAGAAAGCCACGGCUAACUACGUG